CACGUAGGGUGCGAGCGUUGUCCGGAAUUAUUGGGCGUAAAGAGCUCGUAGGCGGUGUGUCGCGUCGGCCGUGAAAACCUGCAGCUUAACUGUGGGCGUGCGGUCGAUACGGGCAUCACUGGAGUUCGGCAGGGGAGACUGGAAUUCCUGGUGUAGCGGUGAAAUGCGCAGAUAUCAGGAGGAACACCGGUGGCGAAGGCGGGUCUCUGGGCCGAUACUGACGCUGAGGAGCGAAAGCGCGGGGAGCGAACAGG
rnacentral:rRNA from 1 species